rnacentral:rRNA from 1 species
UACGGGGGGAGCAAGCGUUGUUCGGAUUUACUGGGCGUAAAGGGCGCGUAGGCGGUCGUGACAAGUCACUUGUGAAAUCUCCGGGCUUAACUCGGAACGUCAAGUGAUACUGUCGGACUAGAGUACAGAAGGGGCAACUGGAAUUCUCGGUGUAGCGGUGAAAUGCGUAGAUAUCGAGAGGAACACCUGCGGCGAAGGCGGGUUGCUGGGCUGAUACUGACGCUGAGGCGCGAAAGCCAGGGGAGCGAACGGG